UUCGAUUUAUCAGGAGGAACACCAAUGGCGAAGGCAGGUCUCUGGGCCAUUACUGACACUGAGGAGCGAAAGCGUGGGGAGCGAACAGGAUUAGAUACCCUGGUAGUCCACGCCGUAAACGGUGGGCACUAGUUGUGGGAACCUUCCACGGUUUCUGCGACGCAGCUAACGCAUUAAGUGCCCCGCCUGGGGAGUACGAUCGCAAGAUUAAAACUCAAAGGAAUUGACGGGGCCCCGCACAAGCAGCGGAGCAUGCGGCUUAAUUCGACGCAACGCGAAGAACCUUACCAAGGCUUGACAUAUACCGGAAUAUGGCAGAAAUGUCAUAGCUGUAAAAGGUCGGUAUACAGGUGGUGCAUGGUUGUCGUCAGCUCGUGUCGUGAGAUGUUGGGUUAAGUCCCGCAACGAGCGCAACCCUUGUCAUUAGUUGCCAUCAUUUAGUUGGGCACUCUAAUGAGACUGCCGGUGACAAACCGGAGGAAGGUGGGGAUGACGUCAAGUCCUCAUGGCCCUUAUGGGUAGGGCUUCACACGUCAUACAAUGGUCGGUACAGAGGGUCGCCAACCCGCGAGGGGGAGCCAAUCUCACAAAGCCGAUCGUAGUCCGGAUUGGAGUCUGCAACUCGACUCCAUGAAGUCGGAAUCGCUAGUAAUCGUGGAUCAGCAUGUCACGGUGAAUACGUUCCCGGGUCUUGUACACACCGCCCGUCAAAC
rnacentral:rRNA from 1 species